GUGCACCAGGCGAGAAACUCCGCAAUGCUCGAAAGAGUGACGGGGGAGUUCCAAGUGCCUACGCUUAGCGUAGGCUGUUCAGAUGCCUAAAAAGACAUCUGGAGUAAGGGCUGGGUAAGACGGGUACCAUCUGCAGUGGUAAUGAAAAACUUAGCUACUGCAAGGCAUAAGCCGCCGCGGUAAUACCCGCAGCCCGAGUGGUAGUCGCUUUUAUUGGGCCUAAAGCGUCCGUAGCCGGUCUGGUAAAUGCCUGGGGUAAAUCGUGGGGCCGUAACCUCACGAAUUCCGGGUAGGACUGCCAGACUUGGGACCGGUUGAGGGAGAGGGUACUCCAGGGGUAGGGGUGAAAUACCUGUAAUCCUUGGAGGACCACCGGUGGCGAAAGCGCUCUCCUAGGACGGGUCCGACGUGAGGGACGAAAGCCAGGGGAGCAAACCGGAUUAGAUA
rnacentral:rRNA from 1 species